rnacentral:rRNA from 1 species
UACGUAGGGGGCUAGCGUUGUCCGGAAUCAUUGGGCGUAAAGCGCGCGUAGGCGGCCAGAUAAGUCCGGUGUAAAAGCCACAGGCUCAACCUGUGAAUGCCGCUGGAAACUGUCUGGCUAGAGUCCGGGAGGGGCGAGUGGAAUUCCUGGUGUAGCGGUGAAAUGCGCAGAUAUCAGGAGGAACACCAAUUGCGAAGGCAGCUCGCUGGGACGUUACUGACGCUGAGACGCGAAAGCGUGGGGAGCAAACAGG